rnacentral:snoRNA from 1 species
AGUUUGCCAUGAUGAAAUGCAUGUUAAGUCCGUGUUUCAGCUGAUCAGUGUGAUUAAACACAUGCUCUGGGCAGACU